rnacentral:misc_RNA from 1 species
UUCAAAGAAGCUUUUUAGAUGUUGCAGAAAGUUUAGACACUAAAGUAGAUGCAGAUUUUUCUCUUAUAACUUUCCUGCUUGAAAUAAAGGUGGUGUGCUAACUGGAAACAAUAUCAUUGCCACUGAAGGAACCUCAUUGCUUUCACACAACUAUGAAAAGUCGAGCAAACCUGCAGAGAAAGACAACUUGAUGUGUUAGAUCUAACCUGUUCUUAGAGGCUUUCUUGAAGUGUCACCUGAAGCCCAAGCUUUAUCAUCUUUCCCUGUCUGGAUUCUAGAAAAUAAUGACACAACACAAAGCAAGAGGAGAGAAUGAGACUGGAAACAAAAAUGUCACCAAGUCGUCUCAUAGUGGAUAACCUAAACGAGGACUUGGAA